rnacentral:lncRNA from 1 species
UUUUUUUAAAAGAAAAAAGUUAUUACCAUAACAUAAACAAUGAGAGAAUUUUGGCUUAUUUUCUCCAAGCAUUUUUUAAUGUACAUAUUUGCUUCCUACAUAGUAUGACACAUUGAACAUAUGGCUUUAGCACUAUUCUCAUUUGACUUGAAAAUGUCUUUAGAGCAAUCAUUUUUGUUGAUAGUAUAUCAAGUGGAUGUGCUGUUACUGACUUAACUAUUCCCUUACUUUCAUGUAUUUACAUUGUCACGAUUUGUUUUUUGUUUUGUUUUGUUUUGUUUUUGUAAUUACAAAUAAUGCUUCAAGGAACAAAUUUGUUCAUAACAGUGUUUCUAAUAUUUCAGGCCACUUUACAGAAGUAGGAUUAUGGGGUCAGAAUAUGUCCAUUCUCAUAGCACUCAACACAUACUGCCAAAUUGCUUUGUGAAAGAGCUUUAACAAUUUAUGUUGCAACCAGCAAGAGAUGCUAGUUUUACGGCUUUGACAUUAUACAUUUUUUAGUGCAAGAUUAAAUAUAUGAAGAUGUGUCAGAAGUAGGCCAGGACUAGCAGAAGCACAACCUCAAUUUUAACUCUUGUUGUGUCACUUACUAGCUGUGAUGCCUUGAGAUUGCCCCUUACUCUUUCUUCCUCAUUUUAUGGGUCUACUCCACACAUUUACCAAACACCUAUUAUGUUCCAGGCACUAUUCUCCAUGCUGGGAAUAUGUAUUGCUAUAGGUCAGGACUCUUGAGAAGGAGGCUCUGAGAUGGAGAUUAGUGUGCAAGAGACUGAUUAGGGACUGUUCUUGGCAUCGACACUUGUGGAAGGGAGGACAUCAAUGGAGGCCUGAACUCUGAGCAUAGAGACAACACACGGUUUUGGGAGGCCAGUUUCUGACAUGGGACAUGCCAUAAACCCCGAGAAAACUACUUCUGAAUAACUGAUAAGGUCUAAUUUAGACACAUCAUUCUACCUUUUUAGGCCAUGACUCUGAAAAUGAUUAUUUUCCCAGAAUAUUUUUCUUCUCAUAUUAGAAUGAAAAAUCUGUUUCCAUUAGGCUAGCUUGCUGUCCUG